AGAGUUUGAUCCUGGCUCAGAACGAACGCUGGCGGCGUGGAUAAGGCAUGCAAGUCGAACGGGCGACCCACCUUCGGGUGGGAAGCUAGUGGCGAACGGGUGAGUAACACGUGGGUAAUCUGCCUUCGGAUGGGGGAUAACAUCGGGAAACCGGUGCUAAUACCGCGUAACAUUCAGGAUUCGCAUGUUUCCUGGAUCAAAGGUGGGGAUCCUUCGGGACCUACCGUCUGAAGAGGGGCCCGCGGUCGAUUAGCUUGUUGGUGAGGUAAAAGCUCACCAAGGCGACGAUCGAUAGCCGACCUGAGAGGGUGACCGGCCACACUGGGACUGAGAUACGGCCCAGACUCCUACGGGGGGCAGCAGUCUAGAAGCUUCGGCAAUGGGGGAAACCCUGACCGAGCGACGCCGCGUGCAGGACGAAGGUCUUCGGAUCGUAAACUGCUUUCGCUGGGGGAGAAAUGCCUCGGGAUGAAUAAUUCCGGGGUUAGACGGUACCCAGUAAAGAAGCUCCGGCUAAGUCCGUGCCAGCAGCCGCGGUAAUACGGGCGGAGCGAGCGUUGUUCGGAUUCAUUGGGUGUAAAGGGUGCGAAGGCGGUCGUCUAAGUCGGAGGUGAAAUGUCUACGGCUCAACCGAGGCAUGGCCUCCGAUACUGGACGACUUGAGUGCGGAAGGGGAGCGUGGAAUUCCUGGUGUAGCGGUGAAUGCGUAGAUAUCAGAGGAACACCGGUGGCGAAGGCGACGCUCUGGUCCGCAACUGACGCUCAUGCACGAAAGCCAGGGGAGCGAACGGGAUUAGAUA
rnacentral:rRNA from 1 species